rnacentral:tRNA from 1 species
GGUGGAUAUAUUUCAAUGGUAGAAAAGACGUUUGUGGUACGUUUAAUUUGAGUUCAAUUCUCAAUAUUCACC